rnacentral:rRNA from 1 species
GACGAACGCUGGCGGCGUGCCUAAUACAUGCAAGUAGAACGCUGAAGGAGGAGCUUGCUUCUCUGGAUGAGUUGCGAACGGGUGAGUAACGCGUAGGUAACCUGCCUGGUAGCGGGGGAUAACUAUUGGAAACGAUAGCUAAUACCGCAUAAUAGCAGUUGUUGCAUGACAACUGUUUGAAAGGUGCAAUUGCACCACUACCAGAUGGACCUGCGUUGUAUUAGCUAGUUGGUGGGGUAACGGCUCACCAAGGCGACGAUACAUAGCCGACCUGAGAGGGUGAUCGGCCACACUGGGACUGAGACACGGCCCAGACUCCUACGGGAGGCAGCAGUAGGGAAUCUUCGGCAAUGGACGGAAGUCAGACCGAGCAACGCCGCGUGAGUGAAGAAGGUUUUCGGAUCGUAAAGCUCUGUUGUAAGAGAAGAACGAGUGUGAGAGUGGAAAGUUCACACUGUGACGGUAUCUUACCAGAAAGGGACGGCUAACUACGUG